rfam:Lepisosteus oculatus linkage group LG14, whole genome shotgun sequence.
AUAAAGAGCCAUAUCACCCUGCAACUCACAACUGGCAACCCACUGAAGCUAAGCAGGUGUGAGCCUGGUCAGUACCUGGAUGGGAGACCUCCUGGGAAAAACUAAGGUUGCUGCUGGAA